AUGGUCUCAGUCAGGAAAUUGGUUCGGGAAAUUUCAGAUCACAACCCUUUGCUUCUCUCUGGUGGGGAAGAGGGGUGUGAAGCUCCUAAACCUCGAGAGUUUCGCUUCAAUUUGGCCUGGAUUAAGGAUAAAGAUUUCCUUCCUACUGUUAGUAGGAUCUGGUCGAGGAAGGUGCGUUUCUUGGACCCUAUUGAUAUCCUAAAUAUAAAAUUUAAAAGGUUUAAGAACUAUUUUAAAGGGUGGGCGUCAAAUAGAUAUGGCCAUGACAAAAUAAGGAAAGAAUAGCUCAGAUUGGAGCUAGCUAUGCUGGAGGAAAUAGAAGAGAGUGGUCCCCUGUCCCCUGAGAUGUAUAGCAUCAAAGUCGAUAUUAGUGCAGAGUUGCAUGAACUUUUGGUGAACGAAGAGAUAUUUUGGUUGCAGGAAUCUCAUGAAAGAUGGCUGCUAAAAGGAGAUCUUAAUACUAAUUACUAUCAUAAGAUUGCGAACGGGCACAAGAGGAAAAAUACGAUUCAUUCCCUGAAAGUUGGUGAUGUGGAAAUAGAAGGGGCUGAUAAUCUGAUUACCCAUGCGACAGAAUUCUACAAAACCCUUUUCGGUCUUGCGCCUGGUAAUGAGUUCCAUAUGGAUCCCGAUACUUGGGCCACAAAUGAAAAACUAGAUGAAAAAGAUAAUGCGGAUCUGUGUCGGACUUUUACGGAGGUAGAAGUCAAAGAAGCCCUGUUCGCUAUGGCACAU
rnacentral:rRNA from 1 species